rnacentral:misc_RNA from 1 species
GUGAAUCAUCAAAUCUUUGAACGCAAAUUGCACUCUCUUCUGAGAGUAUGCCUGUUUGAGGGUCAGUAUUAAUAAAAAUCGGUGUGCUGUUUCUUUGUGAAGCUCCGGAGUUUGGGUCAUCUUAAUAUCCUUUAGGGUUUAAGAGGCUUAAAAUUGACUUUUUUUGUUCAUUUUAGAUGUACAUAUAUUCUUUUUUUUAUUCUUCUUUUCUUAAUGCCAUAAUCUAAUUAGAUGAGAUCACAUCGUG